rnacentral:ncRNA from 1 species
UCCGGGGUGACCCGGAAUCUGAAGGAAGCGAGCGGCAAACCUCCGGUCCGAGGAAUACGAAUGAGACGAAAGCUCAGGCUUUCGUCCCUUUUUGAUCAAUCCGUAUAAUAGGUGAAGCCGAUUGC